rnacentral:lncRNA from 1 species
CGCAGUGCUCCCUAGACGCCUAGGUAGCUGCGCGGCCCGUCCGGCAGUGUCUGAUGGUAGGGGCAGAUGGUGGAGACAGGUGGGUUCUAGGUGCGUUAGGAAGGUGUAUAGACCUGGGGCUCAGGUGUGGGAAGGGGCCAGCGAGUGAGAGAAGCUCGGCCUGGGGAAGAGGCUCUGAGAGGAUGGGCAUCCCAGGAGUGAGAGUUUCGAGAUUUCUUCGGGAAAGACGGGGUUUUGGGAAAUGUGCUGUGGUGCUGUCUGUAUGUCACACGAUCUGCGAGGAGCUGCGAGAUUAAAGGGGACGUGCGUAUAUCGAGCCCCU